UACGUAGGUGGCAAGCGUUAUCCGGAAUUAUUGGGCGUAAAGAGCGCGCAGGUGGUUAAUUAAGUCUGAUGUGAAAGCCCACGGCUUAACCGUGGAGGGUCAUUGGAAACUGGUUGACUUGAGUCCAGAAGAGGGAAGUGGAAUUCCAUGUGUAGCGGUGAAAUGCGUAGAGAUAUGGAGGAACACCAGUGGCGAAGGCGGCUUCCUGGUCUGCAACUGACACUGAGGCGCGAAAGCGUGGGGAGCAAACAGG
rnacentral:rRNA from 1 species